rnacentral:rRNA from 1 species
ACGGAAGGCAGCAGUGGGGGAUAUUGCACAAUGGGGGAAACCCUGAUGCAGCGACGCCGCGUGAGUGAAGAAGUAUUUCGGUAUGUAAAGCUCUAUCAGCAGGAAAGAUAAUGACGGUACCUGACUAAGAAGCACCGGCUAAAUACGUGCCAGCAGCCGCGGUAAUACGUAUGGUGCAAGCGUUAUCCGGAUUUACUGGGUGUAAAGGGAGCGCAGACGGCAUGGCAAGCCAGAUGUGAAAUGCGGGGGCUCAACUCCUGAACUGCAUUUGGAACUGUCAAGCUAGAGUAUCGGAGAGGUAAGUGGAAUUCCUAGUGUAGCGGUGAAAUGCGUAGAUAUUAGGAGGAACACCAGUGGCGAAGGCGGCUUUCUGGACUGUAACUGACACUGAGGCUCGAAAGCGUGGGGAGCGAACAGGAUUAGAUACCCGGUA